GGAGUCGGCCGGACAGUCGCUGUUUUACUUCGGUGAAGCGGAGGAAAGUCCGGGCUCCAUAGGGCAGGGUGCCAGGUAACGCCUGGGAGGCGAAAGCCUACGGAAAGUGCCGCAGAAAAUAUACCGCCUAAGCCUCUUCGGAGGCCGGUAAGGGUGAAAUGGUGACGGUAAGAGCGCACCGCGCUGUCGGUAACGAUAGUGGCAAGGUAAACCCCACCCGGAGCAAGACCAAAUAGGGGAACAUUGGUGCGGCCCGUACUGUUCCCGGGUAGGUUGCUUGAGGUGCGCGGCGACGCGCAUCCCAGAUGAAUGACUGUUCUCGACAGAACCCGGCUUACAGGCCGGCUCCCACU
rnacentral:RNase_P_RNA from 1 species